rnacentral:rRNA from 1 species
UACGUAGGGGGCAAGCGUUGUCCGGAUUUACUGGGUGUAAAGGGCGCGCAGGCGGGCUUGUUAGUCAGAGGUGAAAUCCUACGGCUUAACCGUAGAACUGCCUUUGAUACUGCAAGUCUUGAGUUCGGAAGAGAGAGAUGGAAUUCCAGGUGUAGUGGUGAAAUACGUAGAUAUCUGGAAGAACACCAGUGGCGAAGGCGGUCUCUUGGUCCGUAACUGACGCUGAGGCGCGAAAGCGUGGGGAGCAAACAGG